rnacentral:misc_RNA from 1 species
CGUAACAAGGUAGCUGUAGGGGAACCUGCGGCUGGAUCACCUCCUUAAUCGACGACAUCAGCUGCUCCAUAAGUUCCCACACGAAUUGCUUGAUUCAUUGAAGAAGACGAUAGAAGCAGCUUUAAGCUCCAAGCUGAUAGCUCUGAGCUAAUCAGUUACGCGCUCGAAAUUGGGUCUGUAGCUCAGUUGGUUAGAGCGCACCCCUGAUAAGGGUGAGGUCGGCAGUUCGAAUCUGCCCAGACCCACCAAUUUUGUAUGGGGCCAUAGCUCAGCUGGGAGAGCGCCUGCCUUGCACGCAGGAGGUCAGCGGUUCGAUCCCGCUUGGCUCCACCAUUAACUGCUUCUGCUUGUUAGAGCUUAGAAAUGAAUAUUCCGGCGUGAAUAUUGAUUUCUAGUCUUUGAUUAGAUCGUUCUUUAAAAAUUUGGGUAUGUGAUAGAAAGAUAGACUGAACGUUACUUUCACUGGUAACGGAUCAGGCUAAGGUAAAAUUUGUGAGUGACUCUUAAGAGUUUUGCGAAUUUUCGGCGAAUGUCGUCUUCACAGUAUAACCAGAUUGCUUGGGGUUAUAUGGUCAAGUGAAGAAGCGCAUACGGUGGAUGCCUUGGCAGUCAGAGGCGAUGAAAGACGUGGUAGCCUGCGAAAAGCUUCGGGGAGUCGGCAAACAGACUUUGAUCCGGAGAUGUCUGAAUGGGGGAACCCAGCCAUCAUAAGAUGGUUAUCUUGUACUGAAUACAUAGGUGCAAGAGGCGAACCAGGGGAACUGAAACAUCUAAGUACCCUGAGGAAAAGAAAUCAACCGAGAUUCCCUUAGUAACGGCGAGUGAAA